CUCCGCUUGGUGUAGUUGGUUUAUCACGUUCGACUGUAAUGGCUUCAUUGUUAUCGAAAGGUCCCUAGUUCGAUUCUGGGAGCGGAGA
rnacentral:tRNA from 1 species